rnacentral:lncRNA from 1 species
CUGUUCUGCGAAGCCGGCUCAACUAUUUCGGAUCCCAUCCUGAGAGAGCUGUUUCAAGCAGUCGGAUGCAUUUUGAGCGUGACUCCGGAGGGUCUGCAACUGGACCUUGUCUCAAGCCUGGUGUGCCCCCUGGUGGACAUCCUCAACUCGUCAUUGAACGAGUUCACCGCGCUGCUGCCUUUCCGAUUCCUUACGCGAGGAAUCACCAACGCUGUCAACUCGCUCACGAACAACCUGCUCGGGGCCGUCGGUAACUGUGACCGAUGACUUUCGAGGCCCGAGUGCGCGCGAAUUCAAACUAGCCUGCCAAAAAGAAGAGCGGAACGAGGGAAACACUGACGCCAUUUUCCGAGCCACAGUGGAGCAGCUGCCAGAGUCGUCCAGACGAUCUGAGCCAGGAGCCAACGCCCCGAGAACUGCCAGCAGCUACCAUGUCCUGCUCCGUACAUGACUUCCCGGAUACGCGUCAUGCCAAAAAACAAAAUCACGAAGGCACAUGAGGAUGCUCUAACGACUGUGAACACGCGGCAUCGUCUAUUCUGGACAAAGCUGUUUGCUCUGCGUCUCCCAGUCAUCCAAAGGCAGCGAGGAAGUCGCUUAAUGUCUGCCAGCCCUGGCUCAAGUAGCGAUUACAUCUGACUUUCUAUUCAUCAAAUCCUUGGCGAAUAAAAUUCAUUAUUGUUUUCA